GAUGAACGCCGGCGGCGUGCCUAAUACAUGCAAGUCGAGCGAACGGACGAGAAGCUUGCUCCUCUGAUGUUAGCGGCGGACGGGUGAGUAAUAUGUGGAUCACCUACCUCUAAGACUGGGAUAAAUUCGGGAAACCGGAGCUAAUACCGGAUAAUAUUUUGAACCGCAUGGUUCAAAAGUGAAAGACGGUCUUUCUGUCACUUAUAGAUGGAUCCGCUCUGCAUUAGCUAGUUGGUAAGGUAACGGCUGACCAAGGCAACGAUGCAUAGCCGACCUGAGAGGGUGAUCGGCCACGCUGGAAGUGAGACACGGUCCAGACUCCUACGGGAGGCAGCAGUAGGGAAUGGUCCGCAAUGGGCGAAAGCCGGACGGAGCAAAGCCACGUGAGUGAUGAAGGUCUUCGGAUCGUAAAAGUCUGGUAUUAGGGAAGAACAUAUGUGUAAGUAACUGCGCACAUCUUGACGGUACCUAAUCAGAAAGCAAAGGCUAACUACGUG
rnacentral:rRNA from 1 species